rnacentral:rRNA from 1 species
GGUUCCACCCCUUCCCAUUCCGAACAGGGUAGUUAAGCCCGCUGGCGCCGAUGGUACUGCGAUAAAGUGGGAGAGUAGGCAGCCGCCCGAU